CCUACGGGUGGCAGCAGUAGGGAAUAUUGCUCAAUGGGGGAAACCCUGAAGCAGCAACGCCGCGUGGAGGAUGAAGGUUUUCGGAUUGUAAACUCCUUUUGUUAGAGAAGAAAAUGACGGUAUCUAACGAAUAAGCACCGGCUAACUCCGUUCCAGCAGCCGCGGUAAUACGCAGGGUGCAAGCGUUACUCGGAAUCACUGGGCGUAAAGAGCGCGUAGGCGGGAUAGCAAGUCUGAUGUGAAAUCCUUUGGCUUAACCAUAGAACUGCAUUUGAAACUGUUAUUCUAGAGUAUGGGAGAGGUAGGUGGAAUUCUUGGUGUAGGGGUAAAAUCCGUAGAGAUCAAGAAGAAGACUCAUUGCGAAGGCGACAUGCUAGAGCAUAACUGACGCUGAUGCGCGAAAGCGUGGGGAGCAAACAGGAUUAGAUACCCUUGUAGUC
rnacentral:rRNA from 1 species